rnacentral:rRNA from 1 species
GAACGGGUGAGUAACACGUGAGCAACCUGCCCCAGGCUUUGGGAUAACCCCGGGAAACCGGGGCUAAUACCGAAUAUGACCUCCGAUCGCAUGGUUGGUGGUGGAAAGUUUUUCGGCUUGGGAUGGGCUCGCGGCCUAUCAGCUUGUUGGUGGGGUGAUGGCCUACCAAGGCGACGACGGGUAGCCGGCCUGAGAGGGCGACCGGCCACACUGGGACUGAGACACGGCCCAGACUCCUACGGGAGGCAGCAGUGGGGAAUAUUGCACAAUGGGCGGAAGCCUGAUGCAGCGACGCCGCGUGAGGGAUGACGGCCUUCGGGUUGUAAACCUCUUUCAGCAGGGACGAAGCGUAAGUGACGGUACCUGCAGAAGAAGCGCCGGCCAACUACGUGCCAGCAGCCGCGGUAAGACGUAGGGCGCGAGCGUUGUCCGGAUUUAUUGGGCGUAAAGAGCUCGUAGGCGGCUUGUCGCGUCGACCGUGAAAACUUGGGGCUCAACCCCAA